AUGUGAAAAGUAAACAGACGAUAUUCCUGCAGAAGCUAGUUGCAAACUAGCUGAUUUGUCAAAACAAACCAAAUUGUCCCCCUUUAAAAUAAUUAACCCUUUCGCUACAAGUUUUUACUGGGUUGCUAAAUCGAAUUUUUUGGAUUUCUACUAUUAUUUGCUGUGUAAAUAAUAAUCAAUACUUACAUCUUAAAAAUUUUAAUCCUAAAUGUGUUUUUCAGAAUGUAUCCCUAUGGAUACAAAAGUACUGAGUGGAAAAUAAAAAUGCUGCGAAAUUGUGCAGCCUUUUUAUGUGGAACACGUGGAGUUUCGGAAAUUAUUGGACUCUCUUGAACGGUUACCUCUGCUGCAAGACGUUCCUCGAUCUCAAUAAUUCCAUCGCCUGCAUCGUUAUCGUUAUCAACAUUGAUAUCUUGUAAGAUAAUUUCAUAUGGACCUUCUCUAGAAAGUUCGUUUACUAAAAAGCUGUUAUUAUUAUCAAAAGCAUUGUACAAGUUGCUUAUAAGUUCAGAUUUUUCCGAUUCAUCCGAAAUAUCCGAAUCAUCAAAAUUGAUUAAAAUUUUUUCAAUUUCAA